rnacentral:lncRNA from 1 species
AUGAAGACACAGGGGCAAUCAAAGCUGGAUUUUCUGCCUUGGAAAGGGUUGACACCAGUCUGCAUUUUCCCUGACCUGAGCAUGACGGGACAGACAAAGGGAUCAAAAGUGACUUCAUCUGUGACAGACACUAGCACAUUGGAACACUGUUGUUUUACUUCUAAAGAAGCAGACCGUUUGAUCAACGCACAAGGCAAGGAGAGGUGUUUUCGGAUUAAGGGCAUCAGACCGUGUUUUCUCCAUUGGCGCUUAGAGCUCUCUAUAGACAAUCAGCAUUUUGGAGUUUACUCAAAGUGUGCGUGUUCAUCACCUCACUUCACCCUGCUAACAGCUCCGUGAGGGGGGCAAACCAGGUUCUCGUUCAUUCGGUCACCAGGUUGUCAGGGCAUCACUCUGUGCCAGGAGCUGUGAGGGUGCUGCUGGCAACGCAUGUGCAAAAUGUGACAGAAGGAGAAAUUGAGGCUCAGGGAGCCAGUGUGGUUUUGCCAAGCAGUACAGAGCUGUUCUGUGGGGCAACUGGAACUCACACCCGGCUCUGCUCAGUGGGUGGGCCUUUCCUGUGUGCACGUACCCUGCUGCCCAUUUCUGCACACAGAAAUUCAGACGACGAUCAGCGUCUCCUGUCGCUCCCUUCCUCUUCCUUUCUUCUCCUGAUUUACAUAUUGCUAAAUGAUGAAAUUAUACAGUACAUAAUUCCACAGCAACUCUGCUGCUUAAAAAAAAAUCGGGAAUGGAGUAAUUAGGCAGAAAGGAUUCUCAAUUAGGCAGUGGAUUCUGUUUCUAAAGCAGUAAAUGGGGAAGAGAUAUUUUUUAACUGUCUCUUGAAUAUAUUGCCAUGGAAUGAUUGCUGCCUUGUAGAGCAGCAGUGCGUCUCGGAAAUGGAACCCUGUGGGCUGGCCUCAGAGCUGUGUUUUGUGUCUGAAUUUCCUGCCUAGUUCUAGAACUUCGGGUUCUGGAUGUAACCUCACACUUAGGGUCUCUGGCAUGAAGAUAGGCAUUCAAGACUGACACUUAAUGCUACAUGUCUUCUCUUGUUUCUUUGUGUUUAGGUGGGUAAUGGGAAAAGGAGCAUCCAGAGGUCUUGCCAGGAUCCUUUGUACUGGGAAGCAACAGAAAAUGAUGGAAGGUACCGUCAUUUGGGUUUCCCAGGGCUGGUCUUGGAUUCCUGACGUGUCACCUUGGGUGGCCUUGAAGAAUUCCACCUCUCUGAGCUUCAGUGGGCUAAUGAACAUUGGCAAUCCCAACCCCAUACAAUGAUAGUGAGGAUGGUAGGAGGUAAUAGUAGAAUCUAGCAUAUGGUAGGAGUAAGUGGAAGGCUCUUUCCCUAACUUAAGAGGGAAUGUUCACCAUGUCCAAAUUGAGGAAGGGUUGCCAUUGGGUAAAGGGGAUAGAUUUGUUGAAAUAACCUCUCUGUGGGAUCAGAGGAUGUAACUAGAAUCAGUCAGUAGAAAUUCAAGUCGCUUAUAGCUCAGCAUAAAAAUAGUGACUUUUUGUAAAGUUGUUCAAUAGUAGAGUUCAUCAGAGGUGAGUUUCCCAUCACUGGAGAUAAUCAAGUAAUGGCUCAACAAUUAUUCAGAAAAGAUGCUUAAAGUGGAUUCCUGCUGCCAGUAAAAGUUGAACAGUUUGACAUCUUAGGUCUUUUCGAAAAGUGAAAUUCCAUGAUUCUGACCAUGGUCUCUUUCCUUUUAUAGCAUGAAGAAAGGACCAAAGACACCUAGUUCCUGUGCAAGGACUUGUCUCUGCUUCAAGGAAAAUGAGCUUAGAUGUGCUAACCUUGAAGAUCCUGGCCUUUCUCCUUCAGCUAUGCACGGUGUCUCAUUGUGCCCAUAGGCCAUGAUUUCCAGGAGACUGUUAAAAAGAAUCAUAGACCAAGUUUAGACUAGAGGCAAGAGAGUGGGCCUCCUGGCUUCCUGCGUCUUCUUAUGCAAAAUAAAGUCUUAAAGGAC